AACGUAGGUGGCGAGCGUUAUCCGGAUUUACUGGGCGUAAAGGGCGCGUAGGCGGCCACCGCAAGUCAAUUGUGAAAUCUCCGGGCUUAACUCGGAAAGGUCAACUGAUACUGCGGGGCUAGAGUGCAGAAGGGGCAACUGGAAUUCUCGGUGUAGCGGUGAAAUGCGUAGAUAUCGAGAGGAACACCUGCGGCGAAGGCGGGUUGCUGGGCUGACACUGACGCUGAGGCGCGAAAGCUAGGGGAGCGAACGGG
rnacentral:rRNA from 1 species